GGGAGAAAGGGCGCGCGGUGCCAAAAAUUUCGGCUAAAUUUGGUCUCCUUCACCCGUGCCUCAAGCUUUGGCCACCGCCCACUGCCAGAGAAAAUCCCCCAUCCUUCUCUCUUCAUUCUUCAUCUCCCCCAUGGCCCCAUCGCAUGGCCCGCCGUGCACCACCACCCCGUCACGCCCCUACUGGCCCUGCUCCACCGCGUAGCCUCUUCCUCCCCUUCUCCCCGACAUCGGUGACCGAGUCGGACCAUCCGGCGGUGGGCACGAUGUCAUCUCGCAGAUCUGCCUGCCGCCACCGUCGCCUUCUCAACGCCACCUCGAGGUCCCCCAUGACGUGGUUGUCCCCGAUGAGCACCACCCUGACACUACCGUCCCCAACGAGCUCCUCCCCGACCGCCCCAUACUCUUCUGCACCGCCCCCGCCCCUGCUCUCCUGCCCCUCUAGCACUACGACGAGGAUAACGGCAUCCACCUCCCCGCUAGAUCAAGAUCGUGCCCACCACCUCGACUUCUCUCCAAAGGUUGUCCAUGCUAGUGGCGGAGCUUGAAAGAAAUCUUAGGAGGGGCGAAGGUAGAACAAAAUAUCAAUUACAAAAUCAUACAGGUACCGAGUUGGUGUUUCUAGCUUGGAGAAGCAACAUCAACUUGGGAUACAGAUUCACCAGCAUAUGUACAUGCAUCUCAUCGGGGGAGAGCUCUUGCAUGGAUGACCAUAAUGUCACUCUGGAUGCUUCUCCACAAGAUUUGAUUCUGGAGGCUGACACUGGUGUUGCAGGGAUGUUUUGAUUUUUAUUGAUAAUGCAUCUGGAACUACCUCAACUUGUCACUCGUUGGAAGUGAACCUCUUGAUAGUUAAUGAUGUCGGGUGCAUGUAUAGAUAGCAUGUUGUAACAAGUUUAUUUGAUACUCGCCGUGACCAACAAUGCUUGUACAUGUUGGUCAUGGUGUUCUAGUUGCAACGACUAACUUGUCAUAGCUUAUUUUUUGAAUUUGGCCUUUAGUUUACUACAUAUCUGAUGUAUGUGUUCAUUGAUUAUGAAUCUGAUGUGGUGUAUGA